GAUGAACGCUGGCGGCGUGCCUAAUACAUGCAAGUCGAGCGAACAGACGAGGAGCUUGCUCCUCUGACGUUAGCGGCGGACGGGUGAGUAACACGUGGAUAACCUACCCAUAAGACUGGGAUAACUUCGGGAAACCGGAGCUAAUACCGGAUAAUAUAUUGAACCGCAUGGUUCAAUAGUGAAAGACGGUUUUGCUGUCACUUAUAGAUGGAUCCGCGCCGCAUUAGCUAGUUGGUAAGGUAACGGCUUACCAAGGCGACGAUGCGUAGCCGACCUGAGAGGGUGAUCGGCCACACUGGAACUGAGACACGGUCCAGACUCCUACGGGAGGCAGCAGUAGGGAAUCUUCCGCAAUGGGCGAAAGCCUGACGGAGCAACGCUGCGUGAGUGAUGAAGGUCUUCGGAUCGUAAAACUCUGUUAUUAGGGAAGAACAAAUGUGUAAGUAACUAUGCACGUCUUGACGGUACCUAAUCAGAAAGCCACGGCUAACUACGUG
rnacentral:rRNA from 1 species